AGCUCAGGUGGCCUAAUGGUUAGAGCAUCCGCCUCGGAUGCGGGAGGAUGUGGGUUCGAUACCCGGUUGAGUUA